AACGCUGGCGGCAGGCCUAACACAUGCAAGUCGAGCGGUCGUAGCAAUACGGCAGCGGCAGACGGGAGAGUAACACGUGGGAACGUACCCUUCGGUUCGGAACAACCCAGGGAAACUUGGGCUAAUACCGGAUACGUCCGCAAGGAGAAAGAUUUAUCGCCGGAGGAUCGGCCCGCGUCUGAUUAGCUAGUUGGUGGGGUAAUGGCUCACCAAGGCGACGAUCAGUAGCUGGUCUGAGAGGAUGAUCAGCCUCACUGGGACUGAGACACGGCCCAGACUCCUACGGGAGGCAGCAGUGGGGAAUAUUGGACAAUGGGCGCAAGCCUGAUCCAGCCAUGCCGCGUGGGUGAUGAAGGCCCUAGGGUUGUAAAGCCCUUUCGGCGGGGAAGAUAAUGACGGUACCCGCAGAAGAAGCCCCGGCUAACUUCGUGCCAGCAGCCGCGGUAAUACGAAGGGGGCUAGCGUUGCUCGGAAUCACUGGGCGUAAAGCGCACGUAGGCGGCUUCCUAAGUCAGGGGUGAAAUCCUG
rnacentral:rRNA from 1 species